rnacentral:snRNA from 1 species
UUGCUUUUGCAGCACAUAUACUAAAGCUGGAAUGAUACAGAGAAGAUAAGCAUGGCCCCUGCGCAAAGAAGACACGCAAAUUUGUGAAGCGUUCCGUUUUUUU